rnacentral:tRNA from 1 species
GGAGGAUAUAGCUCAGUGGUAGAGUGUGUGCUUAGCAUGCACAAGGUCCUGGGUUCAAUCCCCAGUACCCCCA